rnacentral:rRNA from 1 species
AUGCCUCCAGAGAAGAUAAAGCUCCAGGCCAAAAACAUCGAUGCUGCGGCAGGAGAGAUUAUUGGUGUUUUGGAGGAUACAAGCAAAGGAGAUGUGAUCUACUUCGAGGGCUGGCAAGGAUUGGGAGCAUCCGCUGUUCUCAAAGUGGUAGCCCAACGCCUGAAAUCAUCCAGAAGACGGAACAAGUUUGAUAAGGUAAUCCAUGUGGAUUGCUCGGUAUGGAAAAGCAUGAGGGCCUUGCAAAAGGCAGUAGCGGAGGAACUGGAGCUUCCACGGUCUGUGAUGGCCAUAUUUGAUCAGUGCGAGGAGGAGGAUGAUUUCAAUGGGAUGGAUCAAGGUUCCAGAGGGGUGAUAGCAGAGAUCAGAGUGAAAAUAUUCAGAAAGCUUGUUAACAGUAGACUUGUGGUUGUUUUUCACAACGGAAGCAGAAGAUACAUUGAUUUGUACGAGUGUGGUAUCCCAGUAAUGUCAGGUUUGAGUAAUAAGGUGUUGUGGACCUGGCACGGGAGGUUUCGGCACGAUGUCAGUCUCUUACUAGAUGAUGGGGAAAACGAAAAGAUGAAGAGUCAGACAGAUGUUUGCUUAUAUGCUUCUAUUGAAUGUGUAGAUGAAUUGCGGGAUCUAGUGCAUGAAGAGGCUUUAGAGGUUGCCAAGUGUGCCGGGAUUAUUCAGCCCAGUGACAUGAGCCAUAAGAUAAUCAUGGAGUGCCUCCUGUGUACGGUACUAGUGCUGACUCGUAUGGACUUGAAGACCCAUGCACCAAAUUAUUGGAUAUGUGAUGGUAUUGUACAUGGCCAAGACAAUGCAUCAGCAUGGGUGAUUGGCAAUUCCCUGCAGAGAAACAUGAGUUUGGAUUGUGGUAUAAGAUAUAAUGAGUUCGCAACUCACUGGCUACAGGUGUCAGAUGAUUUACUUGUUAACCGCUGGAAUUUCACCACCCACAAACAACUGCUAGAGGAUAAGGCUGGAGCAUUGCCUCCUCAGGUGACAUCCUUCUUCCUUUUUGCAGAUGAAUCACCAACAGAUAGAACAUCAAUAUUGCCGGUUAGCAUGUUUCAACAUUCACAAAGCAGCAAGCUACGUGUGUUACACCUAUCCCAUUGCACCUUCAGUUUUGCAUCUCCCCCCUUCGUCCAUUGUGCCCAACUAAGAUUGCUCCACCUGGACCAUUGCACAAAUAUCACAGAAGAUGACCGGCAUCCAGGCCACAAUGAAAGCAUAUCAUGUUUCCAGAAGCUAUGGUUGCUGGAUCUGAGGUAUACAGACUGGUACUGGCUGCUAUCUGAAAAGAUGAAGAUAGUGAUGGUUGAACUCAGGGAGCUAAAUGUGGAGGGAGUCAAGCAUAGGAGCAUAAGCGAUUUGUGUGGUGGUAGACCAAGCCUUGUAAUACUUCGAGUAACAGUAGCAGAUCCGGUCCCUACAAAGAACGAAGGCACAAAUAAUCAAGCACAAUUCCCCAAUAUGUCCAGUACAAACAGCCUUACGACAUCUAACUUCAUCAACGACGUCCUGCCUCCGUCGCUCGAGUCAUUUAGCUUCAUCAACAAAGCUGCAACGUCUGCCAAGAUAUCUAGCAUCUCCUUCCGGGGUUGUUCUCAGUUGAAGAAUAUACUUCUCAGAGGAAAUUUGGGGAGCCUAGAAGAGCUGGACCUCUCGGGAACGGCAGUGAAAACCCUUGACCUCAGUGAAAUGGAAGCUCCAUACCUCCAGCGUCUCAUCCUCCUGGGCUGUGAGAAGCUCUGUGCAAUAUUAUGGCCACCAAAAGACAAAAUAAAAUGGUUUCCGUAUAUGCUACGCCUAUACAUCAGCACCAUCCGCUCUCCGCUACUUUGCCAAGAUAAUUCAAAAGAAAAGACCAAUGAGACUAGUUCUGCUACAAGAUCAUCCUUUAUUUUUCCUGUUGCAGCUGGACAACGAGACAUCUUUUCCAGUAACUGGAUGUGGUACAUCGCUGUAAGGGAUGCAAGGCUCCUUAGGUCUCUUGAGCCCUUCAGAGAAGUAUUUCACUUGUACAAGAUAUAUAUGGAAAUGAAUUCAUCUCCUACAAGUAGAGUUGCUGUUGACGACAGUGAAGUUGCUAAAGGAAUCAGGAGCCUACAGCAGCCUUAUCAUCAUUUAUAUGCAAGGGAUGUCGAUUUUCAAGGCCACCUGCAGGCUGGUGCUGGUAAUGAAGGCGUGAUUAGCUGGAUAUGGUUGUGCCCACCUAGGCCCACUCCAAGUUGUAUAGGCCGGUACGUUCAAGUACAAGAUGAACAGGAGAUGAAGGGGAGAUUACUACAGCAAGAACAGAGCAGCAUUGAAGGAACUACUACUAGUGCUACUUUACCCCAUAGUUUCAUGUAUGAUAGGGCUUACAUGCUUCAUGUGCAUGAUAGCUCAUCCAUCACUUGCCUUCCAUUUCCACAAGGUUCCAGCUGGUGCUACCUCGAUUGGGGCCGUGUCGAGAGGUGCCCCAAUCUAUGCUCUGUCUUUGCAACUCCCGAACUAAGUGAUGGCCACAGUGCCUUUCGGUUAUUGUCUACAUUCUGGGCGUCUCAGCUCCUGAAGGCGUGCUACAUCUGGAACUGGAGUGCAGUAGCUCAACCUGGUAGACGUUCGUUUGAACGCCUAGCGUUCUUGCACCUGGACUGUUGCCCCAGGCUCAUACAUGUGCUUCCCUUGUCUGAGCAUAUGGACACCCUGCCUAGCCUGCAGACACUGGAGAUCGUGUACUGCGGUGAUCUGAAGAAGGUCUUCCCAUUGGACCCUAAGCGCCAAGAGAAGAAGGAAACUAUAGAAUUUCCCAACCUAAGAAGGAUCCACCUAUACCAGCUCUCCAACCUACAGAGCAUCUGUGGGAGCAGGAUGUCCGCGCCGAACCUUAGGACCGUUAGAAUCCGGGGCUGUUGGGGCCUUCGACGCCUGCCGGCAGUCAGCGGCAGCACCACCAACCGGCCCAAGGUGGACUGCGAGAAGGACUGGUGGGACAACCUGGAGUGGGAAGGGCUGGGGGCGAAGCACGACCCUUCGCUCUAUGAGCCGAGCCACUCGCGAUACUACAAGAAGGCCCACCUGCCAAGGGUCACUGUUCUCAGGUAA